GGAAAGUAAGGGUCCCGACAGCUACCGCGGUUUUUGCUCUCGUGAAGAACGUGGAAAUCAUAAAGGAGAGCAUUAUUCCACUGAGGCCAAAGGUAAAGAAGUACACGAACACCAAGGUCUUAUCACUGUAUUGAAACAGGGUACUCAUGGUGCAUACUGUAAGUAGCACAGAAGAAAGAGCAAACUGAAUAGCAUAUGUUAUAAA
rnacentral:misc_RNA from 1 species